GUGAGUAUAGCUGAGUGGUAGAGCACGUGCUUACCAAGCACGAGGUCCUGGGUUCAAUCCUCAGUACCAACA
rfam:Camelus ferus unplaced genomic scaffold scaffold708, whole genome shotgun sequence.